UUUGUCGCGUUGUUCGUGAAAUCUCACGGCUUAACUGUGAGCGUGCGGGCGAUACGGGCAGACUUGAGUACUGCAGGGGAGACUGGAAUUCCUGGUGUAGCGGUGGAAUGCGCAGAUAUCAGGAGGAACACCGGUGGCGAAGGCGGGUCUCUGGGCAGUAACUGACGCUGAGGAGCGAAAGCGUGGGGAGCGAACAGGAUUAGAUACCCUGGUAGUCCACGCCGUAAACGGUGGGUACUAGGUGUGGGUUUCCUUCCUUGGGAUCCGUGCCGUAGCUAACGCAUUAAGUACCCCGCCUGGGGAGUACGGCCGCAAGGCUAAAACUCAAAGAAAUUGACGGGGGCCCGCACAAGCGGCGGAGCAUGUGGAUUAAUUCGAUGCAACGCGAAGAACCUUACCUGGGUUUGACAUGCACAGGACGCCGGCAGAGAUGUCGGUUCCCUUGUGGCCUGUGUGCAGGUGGUGCAUGGCUGUCGUCAGCUCGUGUCGUGAGAUGUUGGGUUAAGUCCCGCAACGAGCGCAACCCUUGUCUCAUGUUGCCAGCGGGUAAUGCCGGGGACUCGUGAGAGACUGCCGGGGUCAACUCGGAGGAAGGUGGGGAUGACGUCAAGUCAUCAUGCCCCUUAUGUCCAGGGCUUCACACAUGCUACAAUGGCCGGUACAAAGGGCUGCGAUGCCGCGAGGUUAAGCGAAUCCUUUUAAAGCCGGUCUCAGUUCGGAUCGGGGUCUGCAACUCGACCCCGUGAAGUCGGAGUCGCUAGU
rnacentral:rRNA from 1 species